ACAAUCAAGUUCAACCAGCGCAGAUAAUUCAAGCUGCUCAAGCUUUACUUUAGAUGAAUAUUUUGAUUCACAUGCCCUGUUGCAGGAGUUGGAGGAUAAGAAUAAUCAAGGGCUACGAGAAACAGGUACAAGUUCAAAAUUCAGUGUCACUGCAUCUGUUCCACCAAGUGAAGUGGUUAUGCUGCCAGCCACUUUAGGUAUGUUUAUGUCAUUCUUCAACGAACAUUUUAUAUCCUCAGAUGAAUACUCUUUCUUGAAUUCUUGCAAGUUCUAACAACAUGAGUAGAGUACAUGAAUAAUUAGUAAGGCCAAGCGUGGUUGUACUUUUGGACUGGUAAUCACCUUGUGUGUCAUCAUAUGGAGACCAGAUUACAAGCAAAAAUAGAAAUGUAAAAUGACACGUGAGAGUUUACCUAAAGUAAGUAUAACUUCUUGAAAGUUACUUAGUUUCCAAGGGAAACAUCUUAAAUUUGGCUCUUAGGUUAUGAUGGUGAAAUAUUAAAUUGGGCUAUAAUUCGAUUAGGUUCUACAGAAGCAGAUAUUCUGAAAAAGAAUUCAACAGACAUAAUACACACUCAUUGAUCAAAUGACUUGUUUAUUCUUGGAGCUCUUCAUCAUGGCGUUUCGAGUGGUUUAGGAGUUCAUUAGCCAUUCAAAUAGUCAUUGACAUUAAAUCUGGAGGUAUAUCUGGCGUCAAAAUCUGCCAAAUGUGUCUUUUUUGAGUUGAAACCAACAAGACAGGUCACUUGGUUGUGCUUAUAUUUAGGAACAUGCAUCUGGUGAACAUCUUAAUGGUGUCGCUUCCUGAUUCUUAUUUUUGAUCAUUGGUUAAUCCUAGGUUCUCUAGUUUGUGCUAGUGGAAGACAACCAUCUGUUGGAUGCACGGCACCCUCAUCAGUCCUCAAGACACAGAAUGUUGGUGAAAGAAUUCCAGAUCACACUGCUAAAAAGCCAAGGACCGAGAAAAAGGAAGAAGAUUCAGCAGGGUCCCUAUGCCCGGCACCCCCUUUGGGAAAUGCUGGCAAAUCCACAUCAAAAGGAAAAGAGAAGGCUGCUAGUGUCAAUACCAAAAGGCUGAAAAAGUACAUGUGUUUCAUGCCAUUCUAGGCUGUAAUUGCAUACUGCGUAUAACCUCUGUGUCAUUAGGUGACUGCAAUCAGUGACUAGGAAAAAUACCAACCCAUCUGGGCUCUUGACUGCGUUCUGUUAUGUAAUCUGCAUUCUUGAUCUGGU
rnacentral:lncRNA from 1 species